ACGAAGACUCAGUGUCGGUUCGCCGCGGCAAAUGAUCAAAACCACCACGCUGUUUCUUUGGUUGGGUCAUUCGUCUUCUAGAUUCUUAAUCCUGUUUUGUUUACAGAAAACUGCCUCAUUGUAAAACUGCCUCAUUGUCCUUUAUGUUGACUGUCUGAAUAACUGUGAUGACUAGUAAAACCCUUGUGCCGAGGAACACUCUUCUACCCACUGGAAAACCCUUUUCAAAACCACGAGCCAAGUAUGCAAGAAGAUGACACCUUUAUCAAUAACCUCUUUUCCAAUUUUCCAUGGUGAAUAUAAGGAAAUUUUUGGGCUACCUGCUCAGACCCAUCCUGAAUCCACUGCAACUUCAUCAUGUGGAGACACCAGUUGAUGACAACAUCCAGAUGCUUCUCAACCUCGAUCAGAGCCCUUCAUUGGUGGGAUCACGUCUGCCCUGCUCCUAAGGACCCCAUCACUAGUGUCACGGAGGCUUUUCUUGCUGACACUAGCCCCGUCAAGAUCAAUCUUGGAGUGGGAGCUUAUAGGGACGAUGAGGGUAAACCUAUUAUCCUUCAGUGCCUUCGAGAUGCUGAAGCAAAGAUUGCGGGUUGUGACUUCUUGGAGUCUAUUUCAUCAGCUGUGAGUUCAAAAUUGGUCGAGGAGAGUGUCAAAUUGGUUUACGGUAAGGAUUCAGAUGUUAUAAAAGAAGGAAGGUAUGCUGGUGUUCAAGCACUCUCAGGAACUGGUGCAUGCCGCCUCUUUGCUGAGUUCCAGAAGCGUUUCCAUCCUGAAUCUCAAAUAUAUUUGCCCAAUCCUACUUGGUCCAACCACCAUAACAUAUGGAGAGAUGCUCAAGUUCAACAGAAUACCUUUAGCUACUACCAUCCUGAUUUGAAGGGUUUAAAUUUUACCGCUCUCAUGGAUGACGUAAAGAAUGCCCCAGAUGGUUCCUUUUUCCUGCUCCACCCUUGUGCUCACAAUCCCACUGGUGUUGAUCCUACUGAGGAACAGUGGAGAGAAAUCUCACAUCAGUUCAAGGUGAAGAAUCAUUUUCCCUUCUUCGACAUGGCUUACCAAGGGUUUGCAAGCGGGGACCUUGACAGGGAUGCUUUAUCCAUUCGUAUUUUUCUUGAAGAUGGGCAUUUGUUAGGCUGUGCUCAGUCCUUUGCAAAGAACAUGGGAUUAUAUGGACACCGAGUUGGUUGUCUUAGUGUUCUUUGCAAUGAUAUGAAGCAAGCAGUUGCAAUCAAAAGCCAAUUGCAGAAGAUUGCUAGGGCAAUGUAUAGUAGCCCUCCUGUUCAUGGUACAUCACUAGUCUCUACUGUCCUGAGUGAUCCAGAUAUAAAGGCACUUUGGGUCAAGGAGGUGAAGGUAACAUAAAUUUUUAUCACAAGUUUGUCUCUUCUUUUCUGUGUGUCUCUUCUCAAUGGAAUGUGAGGAAUCUGACAUUGAGAUGUGCCGUUUGAUCAUAUCUGCAACAUAAGGGCAUGGCAAAUUGCAUUCAAACAAUGCGUACUAAUCUGCAGGAAAGCCUUUGGCAAUUGGGUUCUUCUCUCAAUUGGCAACAUAUAACAAACCAGGUUGGGAUGUUUUGUUUCUCUGGCUUAACCCCCAAACAGGUUGAUUGGCUAGCAAGGGAAUUCCACAUUUAUAUGACUCAUGAUGGACGAAUGAGUAUGGCCGGUGUUACUACAGGCAAUGUAAAUUACUUAGCAAAUGCAAUACAUGAAGUCACGAAAUAUGGUGAGAAUGCAUAGAUUCUCUUUAGCAGUCUUCAUCAGCUUAUUUGCGACUGAUGCUUGACUUCAAAGAUUUUGAACCAAAAUUGACACAUGAAAUUGCUCAUUCUUGCUCAACAUAAGCAUCCAAAUUCUAGCAGACAUGUUUAAUUGAGAAUAAUUGUUAGUUUGGUCUGGAGUUGUUUUGUGAAAACU
rnacentral:misc_RNA from 1 species